ACCGAAAUAGCUCAGUUGGGAGAGUGUUAGGCUAUACAUCAACAAGUCCCUGGUUCGAUCCCGGGUUCCGGCA
rnacentral:tRNA from 1 species